AGCCUAUGAUAGUAUAGGAGUAGUGGGCCGAAGGGAUUUCUGAAAAAUUUUAUCCUGAGGUU
rnacentral:snoRNA from 1 species